UGUGUAACGUAACUAUUGAAUAUCUCUUUAUAUAUAAGCUGGCUGAGUUGGCUCGAGAACUAGGGAUACUGGUGGCUUCUGACGAAGUUUUUAGAUGGACUGUGUUUGGGAGUAAUCCCUUUGUUCCCAUGGCGAAAUUCUCGUCGAUCGUACCUGUGAUCAGUCUCGGUUCUAUAUCGAAGGGAUGGAAUGUACCGGGAUGGCAAACCGGCUGGCUCGCGCUGCACGAUCUAGAUGGUGUCUUCCAAUCUAACAAGAUCGCAAUUGCUGUUAAGACUUUUCUGUCGAUAGAUGAUAAACCACCAACUGUUAUCCAGUUUUAUCAUGUAGGCAGCUAUUCCGACCAUCUUGGGGGAAACUCAUAAAGAGUUCUUCGAGAUGAGGCAGAUUUUUCUGAAAGCGAAUGCGGAGUUUGCCUUUGCUAAGCUCAAAGACAUACCAGCCCUAACCUGCUACUUGAAAACUGAAGCCUGUACCUUCUUAUGGACCGAGCUGAACUUGUCACUGNGUGU